UACGGAGGGUGCGAGCGUUAUCCGGAAUUACUGGGUUUAAAGGGUGCGUAGGCGGCGUCGUAAGUCAGGAGUGAAAGUUUGCGGCUCAACCGUAAAAUUGCUUUUGAUACUGCUAUGCUAGAAUUAGGAUGAGGUCAGCGGAAUGUGGCAUGUAGCGGUGAAAUGCAUAGAUAUGCCAUAGAACACCAAUUGCGAAGGCAGCUGGCUAGACCUGGAUUGACGCUGAGGCACGAAAGCGUGGGGAGCGAACAGG
rnacentral:rRNA from 1 species